GCUCGUCUAGUUCAGUCGGUAGAGCAUAAGACUCUUAAUGUCAGGGUUGUGGGUUCGAGCCCCACGAUGGGUG
rnacentral:tRNA from 1 species